CAACUUGGAGGAGCUAUUUGUAUCAGAAAACCAACUAUCAGGCCCUAUUCCUUAAUCUUUGAGUUCAUUGAGAGGGCUUAAGGCAUUAGACCUAUCCAAAAAUUAUCUUUCAGACAUGGCUAAGGGACAAUUCAGAUCCUUACAAGUACGCAAGUCAAACAACAUGUUAUGCAAUAUAUGUGACGAGAAGUCUUUCGAUCUCUUUAACGGGUUAAAAUCCCACCUCAAGUCUGAGAACCCAAGUGGUGCCAUUUGUCAUACCUAUAUGUUUAUCUUCCACACAAAAGCAGAACUCGGCCUACAUGUAAAUUCUGAAAUCUGCGUGUAGAAGUCUAAAACGAGCCGUCGUUAAUGUAAAAAGUAAAAGAGUUCUCGAGUUUAAUUUUUUCAAUUUUGGGCAAUAGGAAUAAAGGAUGUUCUAGAUUUUUUUAGUAGUUAACAGAAAACAUGAUAUUUUUUUAACACUAAUCUCAUUGUAGCUUCUUAUUAUAUCUAUAGUUUUUGAUACAAUAUCUAAAAUUACCCGUAGCCCCUUCCUACCCAUUAAAUAAGAGAAUAUUGAGCUUCAAUA